rnacentral:rRNA from 1 species
GACAGAGGGGGCAAGCGUUGCUCGGAAUUACUGGGCGUAAAGGGCGCGUAGGCGGGAUGGCAAGUCGGUCGUGAAAUCCCUCGGCUCAACUGAGGAUCGUCGAUCGAUACUGCCGUUCUUGAGGAUUGCAGAGGAGACUGGAAUUCCCGGUGUAGCGGUGAAAUGCGCAGAUAUCAGGAGGGACACCAGCGGCGAAGGCGGCGCUCUGGGCCGGUACUGACGCUGAGGAGCGAAAGCGUGGGGAGCAAACAGG